rnacentral:rRNA from 1 species
CUACGGGCCGCUGCAGUGGGGAAUAUUGCACAAUGGAGGAAACUCUGAUGCAGCAACGCCGCGUGGAGGAUGACACUUUUCGGAGCGUAAACUCCUUUUAUAUAGGAAGAAGAUGACGGUACUAUAUGAAUAAGCGCCGGCUAACUUCGUGCCAGCAGCCGCGGUAAUACGGAGGGCGCAAGCGUUACUCGGAAUCACUGGGCGUAAAGAGCGUGUAGGCGGAUUAAAAAGUCAGAAGUGAAAUCCUAUAGCUUAACUAUAGAACUGCUUCUGAAACUCUUAAUCUAGAAUAUGGGAGAGGUAGAUGGAAUUUCUGGUGUAGGGGUAAAAUCCGUAGAGAUCAGAAGGAAUACCGAUUGCGAAGGCGAUCUACUAGAACAUUAUUGACGCUGAGACGCGAAAGCGUGGGGAGCAAACAGGAUUAGAUACCCCCGUAGUC